rnacentral:rRNA from 1 species
CCUACGGGGUGCAGCAGUGAGGAAUAUUGGUCAAUGGGCGGAAGCCUGAACCAGCCAAGUCGCGUGAGGGAAUAAGGCCCUACGGGUCGUAAACCUCUUUUGCCGGGGAGCAAGGUCGGGGACGUGUCCCGGCCCGGAGAGUACCCGGAGAAAAAGCAUCGCCUAACUCCGUGCCAGCAGCCGCGGUAAUCCGGGGGAUGCGAGCUUUACCGGGUUUUUUUGGGUUUAAGGGGUGCUGAGGGGGGGUUUUAGGCAAGCGGUAAAGAUUCGGGGCCAAACCCCGACCUGCCGUUGAAACUGGGGGGCUUGAGUGGGCGAGAGGUAGGCGGAAUGCGUGGUGUAGCGGUGAAAUGCAUAGAUAUCACGAAGAACCCCGAUUGCGAAGGCAGCCUUCGGGCGCCCUACUGACGCUGAGGCACGAAAGUGCGGGGAUCGAACAGGAUUAGAUACCCGAGUAGUC